CUUGGACAAUAGCGAUGGCCAGUGGAUGGGAGCAAGAGACUAUGUAGACAAGGGUCUGUCCCAAGGAUGCAGGGACGUGAGGCUAAGUGCAGACACACAAAGACACCUUGGACAAUAGCGAUGGCCAGUGGACAGGAGCAAGAGACUAUGCAGACAAGAGUCUGUCCCAAGGAUGCAGGGAGGUGAGGAAGAUCAUGGGACUUGGAUGGAUACCUCCUUUUUGCUCAGAAGAUUAGAAAUCGCCUCCAAGCUAAGACAUUGAUGUAAAAACAAGUGUUAUAGUUAAACUUUGGGCUAGAAAUUUUCUUAAUCAAGUGUUGAAUUUGCAUAUAGUAGACUGCAAAAUUCAGAUAUGCUGGCUACUCAGGAAAAUCUGAAAUCACGGAAGUAUUUAUAGUUUUUAUUUCC
rnacentral:lncRNA from 1 species